AAAGCAAUUCAACCUCCCUCUCAAGCUCUGGAACAAAAGCAUUGUCCUCCAUCCUAAUCAUAGAAAAAUUACAGAUUUCAAAGCUCUUAUGCAUCAAGAGAAACAAUCAACAACACAUACAA